UCUUCCAAAUAAAUAAAUGUACCAUAUUUUGCAGGCUUGGGAAGGUGAUCAUAUACAUCCGCCUUGUUUUUAAAACACGGGGUACUAUCCCAAGUGAGAGUAACGUUGUAAAUGUGGCUAACACCCUGUUGAGUGGAAUGAAACUGAGAAUUAAACGAUCCCUCACAACAAAACUUCCGACUGAGAAUGUGAACUUUGUGAAUGUCACCUAUACAAAAAUUGAUGAUAACUCCUUCUCUCUGAACUUUGGAUUUGAAAUCAGCAAUGUGUCCAUGUCUGAAAAAGUUGAAUUCAGGAAUGAGACCUACACAGAGAUCCAGAAAUAUAUAAAUUCAUUUGUGUCCACGAUCCUGAAUAAAACAACAACUACUAACUUUAAUUUCAAUGAAAUCGUUUUCAAGGGAAACUCCACCGUGAUUGAGGCCAACGUAGAGUAUGUUUUCACAGACAGUGACAUCGGCAGCUUCGGCUUGGUCUUUACUUUUCUUGGACCUACUACAACAGCCGCUCCAACCACCUAUUACCCCACAGUCCUGACCACUGCAAUCUUAAACAAUAGUACAAACGCAGCAUGGGUUGUGGCUAUCAUUGUCCCCUGCGCUAUUGUCAUUGGGCUCGUACCUUGCUGGAUUCUCCUUUGCGUAAGUAUUUUGAUGAUUGAUUGUCAAAUACGUGCAUUGGAAGUAAAUUGAUUAAUGACAACAUACAAGUGUUACUCUUUUGUCUAAACAAUAGACUUAAAUUUGCCUUUAUAUUCUAUCAUUAUAAAUUAUAUAUAAUGUUUAUAAUGUACAGCUGAUUCAAAAUGUUUUUUACUGUAUAAAAUUCCCUUCCAUGAUGCUAACUCUCACUUUGUCUGUUUCUGUGUUCAGUGUUUGCUGUGUGGUUGCUGUGGAGCAAUCAGGAGACGUUGGCACAGAAGACGGUCAUACAAUGUACAGUACACAACUCGAAACAGCAUCUUCUAGAGAUUUUCAAGAACAGACUUUGAUGCUUAAAAUAUUAAUUUUCCUGUAUUGCUGGGCAUACAGAACCUCUCUAAAUGUGAUGCAACUGUGAUUUAAAAAACAACAACUUCUAUUUAAGGAAUGAUUUUAUUUAUUUAAAAAACUGUUAUGUAAAGUAAUGAGAAUCUUGUUUUCUAAAUGAAAGAUUAAUUUGGUAGUAUGUAUUUAAUGUUAUGGGAAAAAUAUAAAAUGUGUUGAUCACUUCUUUAUUCAAACUUAAUGUACUUUAUCUAAUAUAACAUAUUGCACUCUGAUGACAUAUUUAUGUAUGAAUCCACAAUUCAUCUUUUAAGACUGUAGUUAAAAACUAUAAUUUAAUAAAACAAUUCAAUAUCAAUAUGAGAACA
ensembl:lncRNA